CCCGCGGUAGCUCAGACUGGUAGAGCUUCCGGCUGUAGACCGGAGUGUCGCAGGCUCAAAGGAGCUGAAAAUGAGACUCCUGCCCGCGGGACCA
rnacentral:tRNA from 1 species